AACUACUUGAUUCAUGGUUUCUGUUGGGUUUGAACUCUAGUCUAUCUAACUUGCUUGGGAGUUGGGACUAAAAAGGCUUUGUUGUUAUUGUUGUUUUUAUUGAUAUGAUUGGGAUCAUCUAGUUACAAUAUUAUUUUUGUUAUACGCAAUUAUUUUUGUACAUGCUUAAACUGUCCAAUUUAUAGUUGUAAUACUUGAUGUUUCGUGGUGAAAAAAUUGCUUUUGUGGCAGUCAUGCGAUUUUGAGGUAUCUUGCAUCGGUUUUCCCUGGAGUUGCUGACCACUGGUAUCCUGCUGACUUGUUCACCAGAGCCAAAAUUGAGUCAAUCUUGGAUUGGCAUCACUCAAAUUUGCGGCGUGGUGCAGCAACCCUUGUAAUGCACACUGCAUUGGCUCCCUUCCUUGGUCUUACGACAAGUCAUGAGGCUGUGAAACAAGCAGAGAAGCUUGUGAUGCAGUCACUGGGGGUGAUCGAAUCGGUAUGGCUGAAAGGCGAUGCCAAGUUCUUGCUAGGUAGCCCCCAGCCAUCGAUUGCAGAUCUGAGCCUUGUCUGUGAGAUAAUGCAGUUGGAGGUAUGCAUGCUUACUGCUUGCUGCUGCUGCUGCUAUCCAGAUCCAGCGAUGAUGAGCCCUUGUAUGUUUGCAGAUGUUUGGCGAUGAGGUCCGUGACCGAUUCCUGGGAGCUCAUGAGAGGAUCCUUGUCUGGAUGGACAAGGUGAAGAAAGCCACGAGCCCUCAUUUUGAGGAAGCCCACGAGCUCCUUUUCCAAGUGAAGAAGGCACGCAUGGUGCAAGGCAGCAGCAGCAAGGCUUUUGAGCCGAGACAAAGCUCAAAACAGCAUCAAAGCUCUGACGACCAAAGGCAGAAUAAGCGACAGACAGACAGACAGAUCGAUCUUGUGAUAUAAUAUAAUAAACGGGAACUAUUAUUAAUUACUGUUGGUAUUAAUUACACUUAUUCCAGAAGGCCACAAGUGCUUCGUUGCACUUAUUU